AGAGAGGUGUAGAAGACAGAAAGAGGAGGUGGGGAGAGAGGUGUAGAAGACAGAAAGAGGUCAAACAGAGGAAGAAAGAGGAGGUGGGGAGAGAGAUGUAGAAGACAGAAAGAGGUAAAACAGAGGAAGAAAGAGGAGGUGGGGAGAGAGAUGUAGAAGACAGAAAGGGAAAGAGGUGGGGAGAGAGAUGUAGAAGACAGAAAGAGGUAAAACAGAGGAAUAAAGAGGAGGUGGGGAGAGAGAUGUAGAAGACAGAAAGAGGUAAAACAGAGGAAGAAAGAGGAGGUGAGGAGAGAGGUCUAGAAGACAGAAAGAGGUCAAACAGAGGAAGAAAGAGGAGGUGGGGAGAGAGGUGUAGAAGACAGUAAGAUGUAAAACAGAGGAAUAAAGA
ensembl:lncRNA